UGGGGAAUUUUGGACAAUGGGCGAAAGCCUGAUCCAGCAAUGCCGCGUGUGUGAAGAAGGCCUUCGGGUUGUAAAGCACUUUUGUCCGGAAAGAAAUCCUUGGCUCUAAUACAGUCGGGGGAUGACGGUACCGGAAGAAUAAGCACCGGCUAACUACGUGCCAGCAGCCGCGGUAAUACGUAGGGUGCAAGCGUUAAUCGGAAUUACUGGGCGUAAAGCGUGCGCAGGCGGUUUGCUAAGACCGAUGUGAAAUCCCCGGGCUCAACCUGGGAACUGCAUUGGUGACUGGCAGGCUAGAGUAUGGCAGAGGGGGGUAGAAUUCCACGUGUAGCAGUGAAAAUGCGUAGAGAUGUGGAGGAAUACCGAUGGCGAAGGCAGCCCCCUGGGCCAAUACUGACGCUCAUGCACGAAAAGCGUGGGGAGCAAACAGGAUUAGAUACCCUGGUAGUCCACGCCCUAAAACGAUGUCAACUAGUUGUUGGGGGAUUCAUUUCCUUAGUAACGUAGCUAACGCGUGAAGUUGACCGCCUGGGGGAGUACGGUCGCAAGAUUAAAAACUCAAAGGAAAUUGACGGGGGUCAUAGCUGUUUCCU
rnacentral:rRNA from 1 species